AUUGAACGCUGGCGGCAGGCCUAACACAUGCAAGUCGAGCGGAUGACGGGAGCUUGCUCCUUGAUUCAGCGGCGGACGGGUGAGUAAUGCCUAGGAAUCUGCCUGGUAGUGGGGGACAACGUUUCGAAAGGAACGCUAAUACCGCAUACGUCCUACGGGAGAAAGCAGGGGACCUUCGGGCCUUGCGCUAUCAGAUGAGCCUCGGUCGGAUUAGCUAGUUGGUGGGGUAAUGGCUCACCAAGGCAACGAUCCGUAACUGGUCUGAGAGGAUGAUCAGUCACACUGGAACUGAGACACGGUCCAGACUCCUACGGGAGGCAGCAGUGGGGAAUAUUGGACAAUGGGCGAAAGCCUGAUCCAGCCAUGCCGCGUGUGUGAAGAAGGUCUUCGGAUUGUAAAGCACUUUAAGUUGGGAGGAAGGGCAGUAAGUUAAUACCUUGCUGUUUUGACGUUACCGACAGAAUAAGCACCGGCUAACUCUGUGCCAGCAGCCGCCGUAA
rnacentral:rRNA from 1 species